rnacentral:rRNA from 1 species
AUUGAACGCUGGCGGCAGGCCUAACACAUGCAAGUCGAGCGGAUGACGGGAGCUUGCUCCUUGAUUCAGCGGCGGACGGGUGAGUAAUGCCUAGGAAUCUGCCUGGUAAUGGGGGACAACGUUUCGAAAGGAACGCUAAUACCGCAUACGUCCUACGGGAGAAAGCAGGGGACCUUCGGGCCUUGCGCUAUCAGAUGAGCCUAGGUCGGAUUAGCUAGUUGGUGGGGUAAUGGCUCACCAAGGCGACGAUCCGUAACUGGUCUGAGAGGAUGAUCAGUCACACUGGGACUGAGACACGGUCCAGACUCCUACGGGAGGCAGCAGUGGGGAAUAUUGGGCAAUGGGCGAAAGCCUGAUCCAGCCAUGCCGCGUGUGUGAAGAAGGUCUUCGGAUUGUAAAGCACUUUAAGUUGGGAGGAAGGGCAGUAAGUUAAUACCUUGCUGUUUUGACGUUACCGACAGAAUAAGCACCGGCUAACUCUGUGCCAGCAGCCGCCGUAA